rnacentral:lncRNA from 1 species
CUUUCUAGCAUUCCAUACAGUGUUAUUAACUAUAGUUAUCAUGCUGUACUUAGAUUCCUAGACUUAAUCGUCCCAAACAACUCAACUUGGUACCGUUUGACCAGCAUCUCAUUUCUCCCACCUCCCUUGUUUUUGGUAACCACCAUUCUACUCUCUGCUUCUAUGUAUUUGACUUUUAGGGGGCAUCAUGCAGGAUUUUUUUUUCUUCUUUUCUGUACCUGGCUUAUUUUACUCAACACGAUGUCCUCCAAGUUCAUCCAUGUUGUUGCAAAUGGCCGUAUCUUUUUUUGCAAGGCUGAGUAAUAUUCCAGAGUUUAUAUAAAGCAUAAUUUCUUUAUUCAUUUAUCCAUCCACAGGCAUUAGGUUGUUUCCCUCUCUUGGCUACUGUGAAUAGUCUGCAGUGUCAGGGGAGUGAAGACUUCUCUUCGAGGUACCUAUUUUACUACCGUGAGAAUUUGCAUCUCUAACAAACUCUCACGUGAUACCAGUGCUGCUGGCUUGAGGACCACACUCUUGAUAACGAUGCUUUGGACGGUGUGCAAGGAGAAGCUUCAAUGGGCCACGGGAAGUAGGGCAAGGUAAUUCUGUGUCACUAAUUUUCAUCUCACAAACAGUUCACUAACUGGCUCUUUCUGGGGGACUCCAUAUAGUAACACAAGACACUUUGUUCCAAAGAAGGUGGGGAAGGAGAAAUGGAGGUGAGAUGAAAAACAAAAGAAACAGAUAAACUUCAUCUAAUUCUUAACUUCGCUAGGCCAGUUUUCUCUCUUUAUAAUAGUCUACAGGAGGAGUGUCUGGGAUUCCUUCUGGUUACUUCUUGGAGGGUUUUGUUUGUUUGUUUGUUUUGCUUUUUUGCUAUUUUAGGGCCACACCUGCGGCAUAGGGAGGUUUCCAAGCUAGCAGUCAAAUCGAAGCUAGGGCUGCCGGCGUAAACCACAGCCAUAGCAACUCGGCAUCUGAAUUGUGUCUGUGACCUACACCACAGCUCAUGGCAAUACCGGCUUCCUGACCCACUGAGUGAGGCCAGGGAUUGAACCUGCAUCCUCAUGGCUACUAGUCGGAUUCGUUUCUGCUGCACCAUGAUGGGAACUCCUUGAAAUUUCUUUAUAAAGUAAAAAAUGCCACAAAUACUGCAUCUUCACCAUUGCCCAGAGCUUUCUUGUUAAUUCAAAUUCAUUUAAAUUUAUCUCUGUGUGUUGCUUUUCUUCUCUGUACUUUUUCAGUGAGUAUACUUUGGGGAAGAAAUAGAAUUUCAUUUGAAAAUAUAGCUACCUUAAAAAGUUGCCUCUGAGGUAGGUAAAAUUAUAGUUGGUAUAAUUUUCAGAAGUGCCUAAAAAUUCAUCCUAUCAUCAGUUGAUUGAACAAGGAAACCCCUCCAAGUCUGAAAUUUCCAGCCUGAACUUCGUUUCUUAUAGAACUUUGGAAGCUGGUAUUGUUUUGCCAUGUUUGUAAAGGAGCACUGAUUUUGAGGAAAGGAAGCUUUUUCUAAGGUUUAAUAUUAAUGAUAAUCACCAAUGAAUAUGCACAAUAUGCUGAUGCAAACUUUAAGCAGAAUAGAAUUCUGAUUUUUUAAUACACUUAAAAAUAUGAUUUAUAGGUGAAUUUUUAAGGAGGCAAACAUUUUUGAACAUUCUGUUUGCUUUAUAAAAUAUUUCACCAAGGCUUUUCCCUAAGUAGAAAAAUCCCUGUCUAUAACUUAACAUCUAAUUUACCUUAAAAAAAAUUCGGGAGUUCCCGUCGUGGCGCAANUGAAGGAGGAGAGUUUAAAGGUAAACAAGAGGUAAAAGUGUGGAACAAAGGCCCAGGGCCUACUCAAUGGAUAGAUUCAGAAAGUGCUUGAAAAAUUUGCAGACAAUUUGGGGACAUGAUAAAAGAGUAAACGAGGAAACAAAGAGGAGGAAAGCAUUUACACAAGCCUCCAUCAGCUUCAGAACCUGCUGCCAAGGACUAUUAUAGCACAAAGAGGCCCGUGCUAUGUGUUAUGGCGCAGUUCUCUUGACUUUGAAGCCUGAUUUUAGUUUUCUCUCCAUAUAGUCUUUUAAUAGUCCUAGUUUAAGUAUAAUUCCAGAUUUUUUAAAGCCUCUUCUGCAAGGCUUCAUAUAAAUGCAGAUAGACCUGGGCCCUGAAGGAGAACCAAGCAGGAUUUUUUCGUUCAGGUAAUGACUUCCUCUGUUUCCUACUGGUUCACUUCAAAGUUGGUUUAUUCUUCCUUUCCCCACCCCCACCUUUUAAAAUUUUUUAAAUGAAAAAAAAAUUUUUAAAGCAGCCCUAUCUGGAGCAGGAGGCUUCUUCUGCUCUCCAAAUAUGGAUUGGCUGUGAGAUGAUUCCUUUUGGAACGUUAAAUGCUCACUGAUCCCUUUCUUUUUGGUUCUCAAGGAAUUUGUGAUGGCUGCCCACAUGUUUGGGGACCGAGUGUUUUUUGACUCAUGGCAGGAUGAAAGAAAAGCUGUUAUCCGUGCUUGAUUCAUUUCACGGCCUGGCAAGGCCACAGGUGCCUCACUUCAGUAUUGCUAAUUCACAUCACACUGCAAAGGAGCAGACUGAAUGUCAGUCUUGCUUAUUAAAGAGAAACGUGAGCAUUCCCAAAGCCAGUGUGCUGGCUUUCCAGACGCUCAGGAAGCAGGGGAGGCGGCUCUGGCACUCUCAGGCCUGCCUUUAUUUCCUAUGGUUUUACCUUAAAUACACUUCUCCUCUCUCUUCCUUCAGUAGUGGGCUCCUAUGGAGCUUCAGUAGUGCUUUCAAGGCUCAUUUCACAGAGAACUUUCUCUAAGGAGACUCAGCAGUUCAUCCGAGCACAGUUUAGUGCUCUGUGAUCUGGAUCACCCUGAAAUUUUGACAUAAGACUCUUUAGUGCAACGGUGGCCUCUUUGUUUUACAUUAUUCGUGUUUGUGUGUUUCUAGCUCCUACCCAGCACGGAGCUAGGCACGUGGUUAUUUAUACAAUAAACGUUAUUGAUCACGCCCCAUUCAGCCAUGUUCAACACCCAUAGCAGGAGUCUCACCCCACCCCUUCAACCUGGCCAAGGUCGAUAGUCUAGAGGCACAAGUACACAAGUUAAGGCAAAGUUCCAUUCUCUUAAAAAAAAAAACAAACCCAAAAAACAAGCAAACAAAACAACAAAAAAAAUGUAAGACAGGAGGACAGAAGUGUCUGGAGUUAGACCUGGAUUAAAUUCCCAAGUCUUCUUUUAGCUGUGUCGGUUUGGACAACACCCAUUUCUCCUGCUUAAGGCUGUUUCCUCAUUUGUGGAAUGAGAUAGAAAUAGCAUCCAAAUAGCAUCCACCUGAGCUUAAUGUGAGGCUUAGAUGAGAAAAUGCACAUUGGUCUAGUGACGGGGCUUGGUUAGUGGGGGCCGUUCUUAGCAUGGGAGCCACAGAGCUUGGGUGCGUACCCACCUUAAAAUCUCUCUGCAGGAUACACACGUACCCCACACCCCACACAUCGCUCCUUUUGGUAAUGUAUAGCUGAAACCAUUUUGCUUUUAUGCUCAGAUUACUUUCAACUAAUUUGCUUUUAACUUAGUCCUAAAAAUGUUCGUUAAGAAUCACGUAAGUCUGUCCUCCUAAUGUAUACAGGGUCCUACUACUGAU